rnacentral:rRNA from 1 species
AGGCUUAACACAUGCAAGUCGAGGGGCAGCAUUUCAGUUUGCUUGCAAACUGGAGAUGGCGACCGGCGCACGGGUGAGUAACACGUAUCCAACCUGCCGAUAACUCGGGGAUAGCCUUUCGAAAGAAAGAUUAAUACCCGAUGGCAUAAUUAGACCGCAUGGUCUUAUUAUUAAAGAAUUUCGGUUAUCGAUGGGGAUGCGUUCCAUUAGGCAGUUGGUGAGGUAACGGCUCACCAAACCUUCGAUGGAUAGGGGUUCUGAGAGGAAGGUCCCCCACAUUGGAACUGAGACACGGUCCAAACUCCUACGGGAGGCAGCAGUGAGGAAUAUUGGUCAAUGGGCGCAGGCCUGAACCAGCCAAGUAGCGUGAAGGAUGACUGCCCUAUGGGUUGUAAACUUCUUUUAUAUGGGAAUAAAGUUUUCCACGUGUGGAAUUUUGUAUGUACCAUAUGAAUAAGGAUCGGCUAACUCCGUGCCAGCAGCCGCGGUAAUACGGAGGAUCCGAGCGUUAUCCGGAUUUAUUGGGUUUAAAGGGAGCGUAGGUGGACAGUUAAGUCAGUUGUGAAAGUUUGCGGCUCAACCGUAAAGUUGCAGUUGAUACUGGCUGUCUUGAGUACAGUAGAGGUGGGCGGAAUUCGUGGUGUAGCGGUGAAAUGCUUAGAUAUCACGAAGAACUCCGAUUGCGAAGGCAGCUCACUGGACUGCAACUGACACUGAUGCUCGAAAGUGUGGGUAUCAAACAGGAUUAGAUACCCUGGUAGUCCACACAGUAAACGAUGAAUACUCGCUGUUUGCGAUAUACAGUAAGCGGCCAAGCGAAAGCAUUAAGUAUUCCACCUGGGGAGUACGCCGGCAACGGUGAAACUCAAAGGAAUUGACGGGGGCCCGCGCAAGCGGAGGAACAUGUGGUUUAAUUCGAUGAUACGCGAGGAACCUUACCCGGGCUUAAAUUGCAUUUGAAUAUAUUGGAAACAGUAUAGCCGUAAGGCAAAUGUGAAGGUGCUGCAUGGUUGUCGUCAGCUCGUGCCGUGAGGUGUCGGCUUAAGUGCCAUAACGAGCGCAACCCUUAUCUUUAGUUACUAACAGGUCAUGCUGAGGACUCUAGAGAGACUGCCGUCGUAAGAUGUGAGGAAGGUGGGGAUGACGUCAAAUCAGCACGGCCCUUACGUCCGGGGCUACACACGUGUUACAAUGGGGGGUACAGAAGGCAGCUACCUGGUGACAGGAUGCUAAUCCCAAAAGCCUCUCUCAGUUCGGAUCGAAGUCUGCAACCCGACUUCGUGAAGCUGGAUUCGCUAGUAAUCGCGCAUCAGCCAUGGCGCGGUGAAUACGUUCCCGGGCCUUGUACACACCGCCCGUCAAGCCAUGAAAGCCGGGGGUACCUGAAGUACGUAACCGCAAGGAGCGUCCUAGGGUAAAACUGGUAAUUGGGGCUAAGUCG